rnacentral:rRNA from 1 species
CGCGUAGGUGGGUCUUCAAGUCAAAUGUGAAAACCGACGGCUUAACCAUCGGCCUGCAUUUGAUACUGUCGAUCUUGAGUACGGGAGAGGAAAGCGGAAUUCCUGGUGUAGCGGUGAAAUGCGUAGAUAUCAGGAGGAACACCGGUGGCGAAGGCGGCUUUCUGGCCCGAUACUGACACUGAGGCGCGAAGGCCGGGGGAGCAAACA